rnacentral:lncRNA from 1 species
AUUUAACUGAGUUAUUAAAUUUAGGAACUUGCUAACAUCUAUGAAAAUUUCAUCAGGAAACAUAACUUAAACAUCUUCAGGAGGAUCCUCCAGCUCAAUCUUUACUUGUAACCAUAACAUACUUAGGUCACAGAAAGAAACAAAGAAAUGAAAACAAGAAGAACUCUUGCCUCUGUUGAUUACAUUUCCAUUGAACCUUAUAUGAUUGAUUGAUUGCACUCUCAAAGAAGUAAGCUUCGAAUUCAAAACAAUUGCCAUUGGAAAAAUAAUUACAAUGAUAAGACUUGUGCCCAUUUUACAUCUGCAUCACUAGCUACAUCCAAAUUUUUACAGUUUGAGAUCAUAGUGCUUAAGGACUAUAACGAUGCUACACAAUCUGAACUACAUAAUGAGAAUGGAAGAAUAUAAAUAGACUACAAAAAUCUGUAGAUAUUCAUUAAGAAGACACUUGUCACAAACUUCUGAGAAUAUAUAUUUUUACUUUAAUUUUUAUUUGGUUUAUCUCCCAACUAAAAAACUUCAAAACUUGUCCUUAAUAGACAUCCCUCAAACAAGAAGACAAACCCCUAACUUAUACAAGUACUUAGGACUAAAUCCCGAUAAACAUGAGUAUCGACAGAUUAUUUAGCAAGAAAAUCCAAAUCACGAGACCUUUAAAGAUGAAAUUCCAUAUAAAAAGAUCAUUUUCAUCAAGAAACACAUUAUCUUAGUUGGGAAUCAAUCUCUCUCACCACUAAGUUGAAUAACUUAAAUUGAAGUAUAAUGGCCCACAGGUUUUUCAUAGCAAAACGCACUUCUGACCAGUUCACAGCUACAAAAUUCCAGAGUGGAUGGGGGUUAAAGCCAUCACUCUUUGUAUCUUUUACAUAAUUUAGUGUACUUCAACAUCCAAUCUUAAUAGGCACAUUAUACCACUACCCAGACGUAAACAUUAGAUAAGAAAAGAAGUAUAACUCAUAUGUACCAACAUAAUUUGCCAGGUAGCUACUAGUAUAAGAUCCAUCAUUGUUAUCAGAAAACAUCCAUGCGGAAGAAGCAGAUCUGUUAAUUGAAGCAA